rnacentral:sRNA from 1 species
UUGGCGGUUUCUUGUGGAUACAUUAUAUAAAGGUUAAGCAAUCCGGUUAAAAAUAUUAGACUCUAUACUUCUAACUCAAAAUCAAUUGGCAAUUAGUGGAGAAGUUCAUCUCUUAUAUAUAUUAUUUAAGAU